rnacentral:rRNA from 1 species
CUACGGGACGCUGCAGUCGAGAAUCUUCCGCAAUGCGCGAAAGCGUGACGGAGCAAUGCCGCGUGGUGGAUGAAGGCCUUCGGGUUGUAAACACCUGUCACAUGGGACGAACUUUGACGGUACCAUGAGAGGAAGCCACGGCUAACCACGUGCCAGCAGCCGCGGUAAUACGUAGGUGGCGAGCGUUGUUCGGAUUUAUUGGGCGUAAAGGGUCCGCAGGGGGUUUGUUAAGUCUGAUGUGAAAUCCCGGGGCUCAACCCCGGAACUGCAUUGGAGACUGAUGAACUAGAGUAUCGGAGAGGUAAAUGGAAUUCCUGGUGUAGCGGUGGAAUGCGUAGAUAUCAGGAAGAACACCGAGAGCGAAGGCAAUUUACUGGACGAUUACUGACCCUCAGGGACGAAAGCGUGGGUAGCGAACAGGAUUAGAUACCCGGGUAGUC